rnacentral:misc_RNA from 1 species
AAAAACUUUAAAUAAUUAUAAUUUGAGAAUCUAAAUAAGAAAAAUGCUCAUCUUAAAUAAAUUGUCAUUCUAUGAUGUCAUAUACCCUUCCUCUACGCAAAUCAAAUUUUCCUUAAAUGCAGCAAAAAUUUGCUUGGAAAGAACAAUAAUUCUUUAUAACCCCUAGAGAAAUUGCUAUAUGAGUUUCUUGCUCUUUUAGGCGUAUGCCUGGACAUCUAUAUUUCUUGCUAUAGUUUGUAUUAUUUUACAUUUCUAGAAUAUGAACUCACCAAUCUGUCACCAACAUUACACAUUUAUCCUGAAGAAGAGUUUCUGUCUUAUAUAUUGAUUAGUUUA